GUUGAUCCAAACAGAGCUCCUUGACCGAAGCGUUCCUUAUCCCGAACGAUAAUCGGUCUUCCUCUCCCUCCCUUUCAUUGACGAAGAACAAAAGUAAGGUUUAAUUUUUCAUUUUCUAGUCUAGUCACUUCACUUCUACAACUACUGCCAUGGCGGCAUCACUCUCUUCCACUGUUCAUACGACACCGUCUUUUCAAUUCAGAGCGAAUUACCCCAAGUCUCUCCCAGAUUCGUGUUGGAGGGUAAUCGCUUCGGCGAAAUCUCCCUCUGCACGCUUAAUUGCGUGUUCUUUAAGGACCGAUAAGCUUCGGCUCGGUGCGGGCGUGACUCUCUCCGGCGGCCCCGUCGUCAAGCGGUCACUACGGAAGAGAUUGGUGAUAAGGUCUGCCACUAUUGAAGAAAUAGAAGCGGAGAAAUCUGCAAUUGAGAAUGAUGUUAAAUCAAAGAUGGAGAAGACCAUUGAAACGCUUCGGACUAGUUUCAACUCCAUAAGGACAGGGAGAGCCAAUGUAGCAAUGCUAGACAAGAUUGAGGUGGAAUACUAUGGAAGUCCAGUAAGUCUGAAAAGCAUAGCCCAAAUCAGUACUCCCGAUGGAAGUUCUCUUUUGCUGCAGCCAUAUGACAAAUCCAGCUUGAAGGCUAUAGAGAAGGCCAUUGUGAAUUCUGAUCUUGGAGUGACUCCUAAUAACGAUGGAGAUGUGAUUCGUUUGUCCUUGCCUCCCCUCACGUCUGAUAGAAGAAAGGAACUAUCAAAGGUUGUAGCAAAACAGUCUGAAGAAGGGAAGGUUGCACUGAGAAACAUAAGGAGAGAUGCCUUGAAAUCUUAUGAUAAACUCGAGAAGGUUCCAAGGCUUUUUAAAGUUUUAUUCUUUCUUAAAAGAUGGCUAUCCUUAUUGUCGUGUUUUAUUCUAAAGAAAAACAAGCUUCAUUUGCGCAGGAGAAGAAGCUGUCAGAAGACAACGUCAAGGAUUUGUCAAGUGAUUUGCAGAAACUAAUUGAUACAUACAUGAAGAAGGUAGAGGAGCUCUGCAAACAGAAAGAGAAGGAAUUGUUGAAGGUAUAACUUAAAAAUGGUUGUAAGGCGAUGUAACCAAAUCUGGUAAAAUCUCUCGUUUCCAACUCCUUUGCUUCUAUUUAUUUUUCUCAAUGCCUCUGGGAUUCGAGAGGAACUUUGUUUAACUCUAUUUGACUAUUUUCAGUUGGGAAAGAAUUAGAAAAAGUCUUUUUUAUUUAAUUUCCUCUUUGUACAGCAAACCCGUUGUUAACUUUUCCUGCCCAUAACACGUUUAUGGUUUUUUUUCUUCUAUUACAAGAAUCCGCCCUCGUCUUAAA